AGCGCCUCGGGGGGCAGCAGUAGGGAAUAUUGCUCAAUGGGGGAAACCCUGAAGCAGCAACGCCGCGUGGAGGAUGAAGGUUUUAGGAUUGUAAACUCCUUUUGUGAGAGAAGAUAAUGACGGUAUCUCACGAAUAAGCACCGGCUAACUCCGUGCCAGCAGCCGCGGUAAUACGGAGGGUGCAAGCGUUACUCGGAAUCACUGGGCGUAAAGAGUGCGCAGGCGGGCUUGUACGUCAGAUUUUAAAUCCUGUAGCUUAACUUCAGACCUGCAUUUGCAACUUUGAGUCU
rnacentral:rRNA from 1 species